UGAACGCUGGCGGUAGGCUAACACAUGCAAGUCGAACGGCAGCACAGUAAGAGCUUGCUCUUACGGGUGGCGAGUGGCGGACGGGUGAGGAAUACAUCGGAAUCUACUUUUUCGUGGGGGAUAACGUAGGGAAACUUACGCUAAUACCGCAUACGACCUACGGGUGAAAGCAGGGGAUCUUCGGACCUUGCGCGAUUGAAUGAGCCGAUGUCGGAUUAGCUAGUUGGCGGGGUAAAGGCCCACCAAGGCGACGAUCCGUAGCUGGUCUGAGAGGAUGAUCAGCCACACUGGAACUGAGACACGGUCCAGACUCCUACGGGAGGCAGCAGUGGGGAAUAUUGGACAAUGGGCGCAAGCCUGAUCCAGCCAUACCGCGUGGGUGAAGAAGGCCUUCGGGUUGUAAAGCCCUUUUGUUGGGAAAGAAAAGCAGCAGGUUAAUACCCCGCUGUUCUGACGGUACCCAAAGAAUAAGCACCGGCUAACUUCGUG
rnacentral:rRNA from 1 species